UUAUCUGAACCUUCGGGGAACGAUAACGGCGUCGAGCGGCGGACGGGUGAGUAAUGCCUAGGAAAUUGCCCUGAUGUGGGGGAUAACCAUUGGAAACGAUGGCUAAUACCGCAUGAUGCCUACGGGCCAAAGAGGGGGACCUUCGGGCCUCUCGCGUCAGGAUAUGCCUAGGUGGGAUUAGCUAGUUGGUGAGGUAAGGGCUCACCAAGGCGACGAUCCCUAGCUGGUCUGAGAGGAUGAUCAGCCACACUGGAACUGAGACACGGUCCAGACUCCUACGGGAGGCAGCAGUGGGGAAUAUUGCACAAUGGGCGCAAGCCUGAUGCAGCCAUGCCGCGUGUGUGAAGAAGGCCUUCGGGUUGUAAAGCACUUUCAGUCGUGAGGAAGGCGGCGUCGUUAAUAGCGGCGUUGUUUGACGUUAGCGACAGAAGAAGCACCGGCUAACUCCGUGCCAGCAGCCGCGGUAAUACGGAGGGUGCGAGCGUUAAUCGGAAUUACUGGGCGUAAAGCGCAUGCAGGUGGUUUGUUAAGUCAGAUGUGAAAGCCCGGGGCUCAACCUCGGAAUAGCAUUUGAAACUGGCAGACUAGAGUACUGUAGAGGGGGGUAGAAUUUCAGGUGUAGCGGUGAAAUGCGUAGAGAUCUGAAGGAAUACCGGUGGCGAAGGCGGCCCCCUGGACAGAUACUGACACUCA
rnacentral:rRNA from 1 species